GCAGCCGCGGUAAUACGUAGGUGGCGAGCGUUGUCCGGAAUUACUGGGCGUAAAGGGCGUGUAGGCGGGAAUUUAAGUCAGAUGUGAAAGACCCGGGCUCAACUUGGGGACUGCAUUUGAUACUGGAUUUCUUGAGGACAGGAGAGGAAAGCGGAAUUCCUAGUGUAGCGGUGAAAUGCGUAGAUAUUAGGAGGAACACCAGUGGCGAAGGCGGCUUUCUGGACUGUAACUGACGCUGAGGCGCGAAAGCGUGGGGAGCGAACGGGAUUAGAUACCCC
rnacentral:rRNA from 1 species